rnacentral:lncRNA from 1 species
GAGGAGCCCUGUUUCUGUCCACCCUCGCGGGCAAGGCCGGGUCUCACCGCCGUCACCCUUGCAGGGCCUGCUAAGGUCGAGCCCCCGGGGGUCCCGGUGGAAGCGCGGGGCGCGGGCCGAGGUGGGGGCAGCGACGGCCGCGCACGCGCCCAGCACAGCGCCGGAUAACGGGCAUCAGCCUUUCUGUUUUAAAGCAGAUCGACCCGUCUGAGCAAAAGACUCUGGCCAAUCUGCCGUGGAUUGUGGAGCCGGGGCAGGAAGCCAAGAGGGGCAUUAAUACCAAGUAUGAAACCACGAUUUUCUGAUACCCGCCGCCCUCGCGUCCUCGCGGUGCCUUGCUCGCCCGCAGCCCGGAGCAGGCUUUCCUUCGCACCCCGUUCCCAGCCCGGGAGGAAGACUGCUCCGCUCGCGUGGCCUUGUCCCGGGCGGAAGGCCGCCGGCCGUUCCUGGGGAGUCCUUUCUGCACCAGUGACGGAAAACGCCACCCAGACUCCCCGGCGCAGCCCCUGAGAGGCGCGAGUCGAGGUGGGUGUCCCGGGGCCCGCCGCCUCGAGCGUUUCCAGUGACUCGCCCCAGCACCGGGUUGGCUUUGGUUGGGGUUGACACCUUUUUUAAAAAAAGUAAAGGGGAUCUCUAAUACUGCCUAGAAGUAUAGCAAUCCUGGGUUUAGAUUUCACUGUCCGCAGUUUUAAAGGUAAAAUCAGAACAGAACCCCCCUGUAUCGCAUCUGUAAAAUCAUCACAUCACUGAGGAUCGUUUAAUGCAAAAGGACAAAAAAAAAAAAAAGUGAUUGCCAGGAAAUUCUGUUACUCAGUUUCUAUAUUUGUGGAUUUUAUAUGUAAUCAACUAUGUCAGAUAAUGAAAACCUUUAAAUCUAAUGAUUGAUUCAAAGUUUAACAAUGAUUUAAAACAGAGAAAUUUAUUAUGCACAGAAAAAUGUGUCUUGUAUUAAAUAUUUUUAUUAAAAGAAUGUUUCAUUAAUGCAUUGAUAAGAAAACUAGGUUAGUUGUGCGGGAUGUUUCUGGUUUCAUUUCAAGUAACUAAAUUUCUACUACCAUGAGGACUGGCUCAUUAUGGAGAAAUCCUGAUGCUGUCCACCGAGUAGGAGAUGCGGCGGGCAGACUGGCAUUGACCAGAAGUGCUAGCACGUGCCUGCAAAGAUUGUUUUUGUUUUUUAAUCUUCACAGUGUUUUAAAGAACAUGUUUAAAAUGAUAAUAAUAAUCUAGGGCUCCUGCUGUCAAGAUUUCUGUCCUGGAAAACUUGUUUGAGAAAGGUGUUAAUAAAAUUCUAUUGCAAAAAUUUUUUUCUAGAAAAUAUAAAUACAUUUAAAAAAAGAAAUUCCAAAGUAAUACAACUUUUCUUGAAACAGACAAAAAAAAUAAUGUUUGCUUACUAUUUGAUUAAAUAAAAUUUACUUACAUUUCUUUAAGGUAUUUUAAUUUUUUUAAUGUCUC